GUCUACAUGGAAAGUUGUAUGUAGUCUGGCCUGCUCACUGAGAUUAAACUUAAAGAGCCGCGGUAUUCUGACCGUGCAAAGGUAGCAUAAUCAUUAGCUCUUUUAAUUGAAAGCUUGUAUGAACGGUUAAACAAAAGAGGUUCUGUCUUCUUUUUUAGAAUUUGAAUUUAACUUUUAAGUGAAAAGGCUUAAAUUGUUCAAAGGGACGAUAAGACCCUAUAAAGCUUUAUAAGUGAUAAAAAUUUAAUGAAUUUUAUAAUAAAAAAAGAUUUUUAUUAUUUAUUGUGUUGGGGCGACACGGAUAUAAUUCAAGGUAACUGUUAGAGAGAGAGCAACAUAAAAUUUAUGAAAGUUAAUGAUCCUUAAUAAAGACUCAAAGACAAAGUUACUUUAGGGAUAACAGCGUUAUUCUUUUUGAGAGUUCCUAUCGAAAUAAGAGUUUGCGACCUCGAUGUUGAAUCAUAAGAUCUUUAUAAUGCAGCAGUUAUAUAAGAAGGUCUGUUCGACCUUUAAAUUUUUACG
rnacentral:rRNA from 1 species